AGAAAUAGUAGAAUUCAGUGGCACAGACUGUCACCUCCCUCAAGCUCUUCUCCAGGGCCUUUUCUUUGCCCCAAGGCCAUUCUUCUGCCUGCAUGGUGACAUUGAAGCUUUACAAGAGAGGUGGGGGCUGGGCAAAAGGAUUCCCUCUGCUGUUUGAUGACCAGAGAACGAAUCUCUUCUGGAGCCAGCCUUAUUUGGUAUCAGGUACUGUAGACAGACCUGCCCCAUCUUGUCUUCCAGAAUUGUCCUGUAUCCCAGAUAUCUCAAGCUCCUACUGUAUGUAUUGCUGGUCUUGAUGGCUCUGAGCCAACUGUGGACCUGAUUUUUUUUUUUUUUUUACCAGUCUCUUCUUCCCUGACCAGCCAAUCCUAGAAAACAUUGCUGUUGAUAGGGACAGCCCUGAAAAACCAUAGCCUUUGUUUGCUGUGGUCUUGGUGGAGAUUAGUUUUCCUUUUGGCUCCAAAGCUUCACAGGAAAUUUAUAUUCAGAGAAAGCCAUGAGUGGGAAGCAUUUUCCUGGUGUGUACCUUUUUUAUCCAUUAGCCUGUGAAGAAACAGCUUCAAAGGCAGGAACAUGAGCCAGAUCUUGCUGAUGGUAGUCCUGACAUCUUGAGAAGAAAAGCAUGUAGUUAUGUUUGAAGUUAGUGUCUUGAAAGCUGCAAGGACCUCGAACACGACUGGUUUGUCUCACAUGCCCUGUGUUAUGGAGUGUUGACAUCUGCAUGGUAUCGUUUGAUCUUGACUCAUUUUUUUCCGGCUUUCCUGGAUCCUUCUUCCUCUCCUCUGCUGCUUCCUGGUAUUAAUCUCCUGGCUGGCUUGACAAGUCAAGAGGGAGACAGACAACUUCACACUUAUAGAAGAAACAAACUACAGCUUGUGGGUUUUUAAUUUUUUUGAUUGUGGAAAGGACUUAAGUCACAACUUAAAACAUUGCCCUGCGGUACCAGUUCCCUGCCCACCUUUGGCUUGUGCUGUAACUCUCGCCCAGAAGUACAACUGUGUAGAAUGUCUGCUCUUCCUAAUUGUGGUGGGAGAGUUUCACAAGGGGAGAGUUUCUAGAAACGUGACAUUUGACUUUUAAGUAUGAAAACUUACUUAAGUGUGUAUGUAUUCCCCCUAUGUAUUUCUGACUUUAUCACAAGCUGAUGGAAACAGACUAACUCUAAACUGAA